rnacentral:rRNA from 1 species
AGAGUUUGAUCAUGCCUCAGGAUGAACGCUAGCGGCAGGCUUAACACAUGCAAGUCGUUGGGGCAGCGCGGGGUAGCAAUACUCUGGCGGCGACCGGCGGAAGGGUGCGUAACGCGUGAGCAACAUGCCCGUGGCAGGGGGAUAAGCGAUGGAAACGUCGUCUAAGACCCCGUAACAACAGGGUUCGCAUGGACUUUGUUUGAAAGCUUCGGCGGCCACGGAUUGGCUCGCGUCCCAUUAGGCAGUUGGCGGGGUAACGGCCCACCAAACCGACGAUGGGUAGGGGUUCUGAGAGGAAGGUCCCCCACAAUGGAACUGAGACACGGUCCAUACUCCUACGGGAGGCAGCAGUGAGGAAUAUUGGUCAAUGGGCGGAAGCCUGAACCAGCCAUGCCGCGUGCAGGAAUAAGGCCCUACGGGUCGUAAACUGCUUUUGUACGGGAGCAAUAAGGGUCACGCGUGGCCCGAUGAGAGUACCGUACGAAUAAGCAUCGGCUAACUCCGUGCCAGCAGCCGCGGUAAUACGGAGGAUGCGAGCGUUAUCCGGAUUCAUUGGGUUUAAAGGGUGCGUAGGCGGCGUGCCAAGUCAGGGGUGAAAGGUUCCGGCUCAACUGGGACAGUGCCUUUGAUACUGGUGUGCUGGAGUGCGCUUGCCGUGGGAGGAAUGAGUGGUGUAGCGGUGAAAUGCUUAGAUAUCACUCAGAACACCGAUUGCGAAGGCAUCUCACGAAGGCGUAACUGACGCUGAGGCACGAAAGCGUGGGGAUCAACAGGGAUUGAUACCCCUGGUAGUCCCACGCCGUAAACGAUGAUGACUAACCCCUAGGGUCGGUGGCCAAGCGAAAGCGAUAAGUCAUCCACCUGGGGAGUACGACCGCAAGGUUGGAACUCAAAGGAAUUGACGGGGGCCCGCACAAGCGGAGGAACAUGUGGUUUAAUUCGAUGAUACGCGAGGAACCUUACCCGGGCUCGAACGGCAAGUGAAGAGAGACAGAGAUGUUGACGUCCUUCGGGACACUUGUCGAGGUGCUGCAUGGUUGUCGUCAGCUCGUGCCGUGAGGUGUCGGCUCAAGUGCCAUAACGAGCGCAACCCCUGCUUCCAGUUACCAGCACGUAAAGGUGGGGACUCUGGAGGGACUGCCACCGCAAGGUGAGAGGAAGGGGAGGAUGACGUCAAAUCAGCACGGCCCUUACGUCCGGGGCGACACACGUGCUACAAUGGCGGCCACAGAGGGAAGCUACCCUGCGAGGGGAUGCGGAUCUCGAAAAGCCGUCUCAGUUCGGAUCGGAGUCUGCAACUCGACUCCGUGAAGCUGGAUUCGCUAGUAAUCGCGCAUCAGCCAUGGCGCGGUGAAUACGUUCCCGGGCCUUGUACACACCGCCCGUCAAGCCAUGGAAGCCGGGGGCGCCUGAAGUUCGUGACCGCGAGGAGCGACCUAGGGCGAACCUGGUAACUGGGGCUAAGUCGUAACAAGGUAGCCGUA